rnacentral:pre_miRNA from 12 species
AGCUGGUGUUGUGAAUCAGGCCGCCGUGGUGAAAGGGUACGGCUUCU